rnacentral:rRNA from 1 species
CCUACGGGAGGCAGCAGUAAGGAAUAUUGGUCAAUGGGCGCAAGCCUGAACCAGCCAUGCCGCGUGCAGGAUGACGGCCCUCUGGGUUGUAAACUGCUUUUAUACGGGAAGAACAGCAUCUACGUGUAGGUGUUUGACGGUACUGUAAGAAUAAGGACCGGCUAACUUCGUGCCAGCAGCCGCGGUAAUACGAAGGGUCCAAGCGUUAUCCGGAUUUAUUGGGUUUAAAGGGUGCGUAGGCGGCUUUUUAAGUCAGUGGUGAAAGCCUGAUGCUCAACAUCAGAACUGCCAUUGAUACUGAAGAGCUUGAGUACAGUUGAGGUUGGCGGAAUGUGUCAUGUAGCGGUGAAAUGCUUAGAUAUGACACAGAACACCGAUUGCGAAGGCAGCUAGCUAAGCUGUUACUGACGCUGAUGCACGAAAGCGUGGGGAGCAAACAGGAUUAGAUACCCUGGUAGUCCACGCCCUAAACGUUGAUAACUCGUUGUUAGCGAUAUACUGUUAGCGACCAAGCGAAAGCAUUAAGUUAUCCACCNGAGACGUCGCGAGAGUGAUACAANAGAGUAGAGNGNGAGAGNGCGAGGACGACACGAGGGAGGAGG